CCUCCUUUCUAAGGAUGAUUAAGGAUUUUUUCUUAAUCUAAAUAAUAUACAGGUUAAUGUUGACCGUCCUCAUUUCUCUUCUUAAAGUAGUGUUUCUCUUUUCUGCAUAGGGGCCGGUAGCUCAGUUGGUUAGAGCACACCCUUGAUAAGGGUGGGGUCGAAAGUUCGAGUCUUUCUCGGCCCACCAAAUUAAUGGGGGAUUAGCUCAGCUGGGAGAGCGCCUGAUUUGCAUUCAGGAGGUCAGCGGUUCGAUCCCGCUAUCCUCCACCAAGAAACACUUAGUUAUUUAAUUUGUAAAUAUUUUUAUAAUUAUUAUCAAUAUCUGUAUCCGAUUGUUCGAAUAGAUGAACAAUCAUGAAUAUUCGAAUAGAUGAAUAUUCCAACAAAAUUUGAUUCUACACAGAAUUUUUUUCUGUGCAUAAAUCAAGCGUUUAAGGGCGUGUGGCGGAUGCCUUGGCACUGAAAGCCGAUNAAGGACGUGGUAUACUGCGAUAAGUUACGGGGAGCUGUAUGCAAGUUUUGAUCCGUAAAUUCC
rnacentral:misc_RNA from 1 species